GUCAAGAGAUCGAGACCAUCCUGGUCAACAUGGUGAAACCCCGUCUCUACUAAAAAUACAAAAAAUUAGCUGGGCAUGGUGGUGCAUGCCUGUAAUCCCAGCUAGUCAGGAGGCUGAGGCAGGAGAAUUGCCUGAACCCAGGAGGCGGAGGUUGCAGUGAGCCGAGAUCGCGCCAUUGCACUCCAGCCUGGGUAACAAGAGCGAAACUCCGCCUCAAAAAAAAAAAAAAAAAAAAAAAAAGAAAUGAGGUAACAGCAGAGACCAGGGCCAGGACAUGGAAUAUCUUCUGCAGAUGAUAGAAAGUCAUUGAAGAAUUUAAAGCAGGGAAAUAAAGUCAGAAUCAAGGUUGGAAAGUUUACAACAAAAGCAGACAAGGGUGUGGAUGGGAGGGGAGCAAAGUGGAGGCGUGGAGACUGCUGUAGUGUGAUGAUGGCCAGGACACUGGAGAUGUACGGGAAGGACCCCAUUUGUUUGUCUUUAACACAGGGUUAAUGAGAUUCACCUACCUGAUAAGAAUGGUAAGUAACACCUAAUAAAAGUUACCACGGCUGGACUCAGUGGCUCAUGCCUGUAAUCUCAGAGCCUUGGGAGGCAGAGGCAGGUGGAUCACCUGAGGUCGGGAGUUCAAGACUAGCCUGGCCAACAAGGUGAAACCCCGUCUCUACUAAAACUUUAAAAUCUUAGCUGGGUGUGGUGGCAUAUGCCCAUAGUCCCAGCUAGUAGGGAGGCUGAGGCAGGAGAACUACUUGAACCCAGAAGGCGGAAGUUGCAGUGAGCCAAGAUCUUGCUAUUGCACUCCAGCCUAGGCGACAGAGCAAGACUCUGUCUCAAAAGAAAAAAAAAGUUAUUAUAGACAAAAUAUCUGCAUA
rnacentral:lncRNA from 1 species